rnacentral:rRNA from 1 species
GUUGUGUGUUGUUUUUAUGGGCGUUCGGUGGAUGCCUUGGCACCAGGGGCCGAUGAAGGACGUGGUGGACUGCGAUAAGCCUCGGGGAGCCGUCUUGCGGGCCUUGAUCCGAGGGUUUCCGAAUGGGGGGACCCGGCGCCCGUCACGGGGCGUCACCCGCGUCUGAAUGUAUAGGGCGUGUGGGGGUUACGCGGGGAAGUGAAACAUCUCAGUACCCGUAGGAGAGGAUAUUCCGUGAGUAGUGGCGAGCGGAAGCGGAUGAUGGCUGAAACCGUCGUGGUGCUGGUUACCCGGCAGGGUCUGCCGCGGCGGGGUUGUGGGGUCGUGCCGUCCUGUUCCUGCCGGGGCGGGGGCGUGGUGAGAAACCGUGGUGGUAGCCGAACCCCCUGGGACGGGGGGCCGUGGAGGGUGAGAGCCCCGUAGGCGGAACUGCCUCGGCCGCGCUGGCACGGUGCCCGAGUAGCACGGGGCACGUGGAAUCCUGUGUGAAUCUGCCGGGACCACCCGGCUGCCUGAAUACCUCCUGGUGACCGAUAGCGGAGUAGUACCGUGAGGGAACGGUGAAAAGUACCCCGGGAGGGGAGUGAAAGAGUACCUGAAACCGGGCGCCUACGAGCCGUCAGGGCCCUGCCGCCCCCCCGUUUUUCGUGGGGGGUGGGGGGUGGUGGCGUGCCUAUUGAAGAAUGAGCCUGCGAGUCAGUGGCGUGUCGCGAGGUUAACCCGUUGUGGGGUAGCCGUAGCGAGGGCGAGUCCGAACAGGGCGUCUAGUGGCGCGUCCUGGACCCGAAGCGGGGUGAUCUACCCAUGGCCAGGCUGAGGCACGUGUAAGAGCGUGUGGAGGGCCGGACCCGCCUGGGUUGAAAACCGGGGGGAUGAGCUGUGGGUAGGGGUGAAAGGCCAAUCAGACUCCGUGAUAGCUGGUUCUCCCCGAAAUGCAUUUGGGUGCAGCGUCGCGUGGUCCCCGGCGGAGGUAGAGCUACUGGUUGGCUGAUGGGCCCCACAGGGUUACUGGGGUCAGCCAAACUCCGAAUGCCGUCGGGUGUGAGCGCGGCAGUGAGACCGCGGGGGAUAAGCUCCGUGGUCGAGAGGGGAACAGCCCGGACCGCCGGCUAAGGCCCCUAAGCGCGCGCUAAGUGGGAAAGGAUGUGCGGCCGCGGUGACAACCAGGAGGUUGGCUUAGAAGCAGCCACCCUUGAAAGAGUGCGUAACAGCUCACUGGUCAAGUGGUCGUGCGCCGACAAUGUAGCGGGGCUCAAGCGCGCCGCCGAAGCCGCGGACCCCCGGCCCCCUGUGGGGGGUUGGGGGUGGUAGGGGAGCGUCCUGUGCUGGGUGAAGCCGGUGGGGUGACCCCUGGUGGACGGUGCGGGAGCGAGGAUGCAGGCAUGAGUAGCGAGACCGGGGUGGGAGUCCCCGGCGCCGUGUGACCAAGGGUUCCAGGGGAAGGUUCGUCCGCCCUGGGUGAGUCGGGGCCUAAGGCGAGGCCGACAGGCGUAGUCGAUGGGUGACGGGUUGAUAUUCCCGUACCGGUGGGGCACCGCCCGUGCUGACUGGUGGGUGCUAACCCACGCCGGGUGCCGCCUUCUUCCCCUUGUCCCGGGCUUCGGCCCGGGUGGGGGUGGUGGUGCCGGGUCUGGGGGUCCUCCGCCUUGGUAGGCAAGCGUGUUAACAGGGGUGACGCACAGUGGUAGCCUCCGCGGGCCUGAUGGCUUGGCCCGUCCAACCGUGUGGCCCGUCCCCCAGGUAAAUCCGGGGGGCUGUCUUUGGUGACGAGGGUGAGGCGGGACGGUGACCUGCCCCGUGGGGCGGGGAAGCAGGGUGAUCCUGUGGUGCCUAGAAAAGCCUCGACGCGAUGGUGUGAGCCGCCCGUACCCUAUACCGACACAGGUGGUCCGGCAGAGUAUGCCGAGGCGGGCGGGUGAACCGUGGUGAAGGAACUCGGCAAGAUGCCCCCGUAACUUUGGGAGAAGGGGGCCCUGUCCCCUGAGGCCCCGUGCGGGCUGGGGGGCGGGCCGCAGAGACCAGGGGGGAGCGACUGUUUACUAAAAACACAGGUCCGUGCGAAGCCGUAAGGCGAUGUAUACGGACUGACGCCUGCCCGGUGCUGGAAGGUCAAGAGGAUCCGUCAGCCCCCCGCGGGGGGUGAAGCGGUGAGUUCAAGCCCCAGUAAACGGCGGUGGUAACUAUAACCAUCCUAAGGUAGCGAAAUUCCUUGUCGGGUAAGUUCCGACCUGCACGAAUGGCGUAACGACUCCCCCGCUGUCUCCACCACGGGCCCGGUGAAAUUGCACUACGAGUAAAGAUGCUCGUUACGCGCAGAAGGACGGAAAGACCCCGGGACCUUUACUGCAGCUUGGUAUUGGCGUCCGCCGUGUCCUGUGCAGGAUAGGUGGGAGGCGUGGAUCCCGGCGCGCCAGCGUCGUGGGGAGCCGUUGUUGGGAUACCACUCUGGGUGCGGCGUGCGCCUGAACCUCGGCCCGUGACCCGGGUCAGGGACAGUGCCUGGUGGGUAGUUUAACUGGGGCGGUUGCCUCCUAAAGGGUAACGGAGGCGCUCAAGGGUCCCCUCAGCCUGGUCGGUAACCAGGUGUCGAGUGCAAGCGCACAAGGGGGCUUGACUGCGAGACCGACGGGUCGGGCAGGUGCGAAAGCAGGAGCUAGUGAUCCGGCGGCCCCGUGUGGGUGGGCCGUCGCUCAACGGAUAAAAGGUACCCCGGGGAUAACAGGCUGAUCCUGCCCAAGAGUCCAUAUCGACGGCAUGGUUUGGCACCUCGAUGUCGGCUCGUCGCAUCCUGGGGCUGGAGCAGGUCCCAAGGGUUGGGCUGUUCGCCCAUUAAAGCGGUACGCGAGCUGGGUUUAGAACGUCGUGAGACAGUUCGGUCCCUAUCCUCUGCGCGCGUUGGAGGCCUGAGGGGGCCUGUCCCUAGUACGAGAGGACCGGGACGGACGGACCUCUGGUGUGCCAGUUGUCCCGCCAGGGGCACGGCUGGUUGGCUACGUCCGGGAGGGGUAACCGCUGAAGGCAUCUAAGCGGGAAACCAUCCCCGAGACCAGGCCUCCGCACGACCACCCCCCUGGGGUGGUGUGGUAGGCCCCCGGUAGACGACCGGGUUGAUAGGCCGGGCGUGGAAGCGGGGUGACCCGUGGAGCUGACCGGUACUAACAGGCCGACACAACACACAC